UAUUCUAGAGAUAGAAAGUUACUUCGGUACAUCGGUGACAGGUGGUGCAUGGUUGUCGUCAGCUCGUGUCGUGAGAUGUUGGGUUAAGUCCCGCAACGAGCGCAACCCCUAUUGUUAGUUGCCAUCAUUCAGUUGGGCACUCUAGCGAGACUGCCGGUAAUAAACCGGAGGAAGGUGGGGAUGACGUCAAAUCAUCAUGCCCCUUAUGACCUGGGCUACACACGUGCUACAAUGGUUGGUACAACGAGUUGCGAGUCGGUGACGGCGAGCUAAUCUCUUAAAGCCAAUCUCAGUUCGGAUUGUAGGCUGCAACUCGCCUACAUGAAGUCGGAAUCGCUAGUAAUCGCGGAUCAGCACGCCGCGGUGAAUACGUUCCCGGGCCUU
rnacentral:rRNA from 1 species